GAGGAUGAUCAAAAACACUGGGACUGAGACACGGCCCAUACUCCUACGGGAGGCAGCAGUGGGGAAUCUUAGACAAUGGGCGCAAGCCUGAUCUAGCCAUGCCGCGUGAGUGAUGAAGGCCUUAGGGUCGUAAAGCUCUUUCGCCAGGGAUGAUAAUGACAGUACCUGGUAAAGAAACCCCGGCUAACUCCGUGCCAGCAGCCGCGGUAAUACGGAGGGGGUUAGCGUUGUUCGGAAUUACUGGGCGUAAAGCGUACGUAGGCGGAUUAGAAAGUUAGGGGUGAAAUCCCAGGGCUCAACCCUGGAACUGCCUCUAAAACUACUAGUCUAGAGUUCGAGAGAGGUGAGUGGAACUCCGAGUGUAAAGGUGAAAUUCGUAGAUAUUCGGAAGAACACCAGUGGCGAAGGCGGCUCACUGGCUCGAUACUGACGCUGAGGUACGAAAGUGUGGGGAGCAAACAGGAUUAGAUACCCUGGUAGUCCACACCGUAAACGAUGAAUGCCAGUCGUCGGGUAGUAUACUAUUCGGUGACACACCUAACGGAUUAAGCAUUCCGCCUGGGGAGUACGGUCGCAAGAUUAAAACUCAAAGGAAUUGACGGGGGCCCCGCACAAGCGGUGGAGCAUGUGUUUUAAUUCGAAGCAACGCGCAGAACCUUACCAACCCUUGAC
rnacentral:rRNA from 1 species